rnacentral:rRNA from 1 species
ACAGCAGUCGCCACGGUAAUACGUAGGUCCCGAGCGUUAUCCGGAUUUAUUGGGUGUAAAGCGAGCGCAGGCGGUUAGAUAAGUCUGAAGUUAAAGGCUGUGGCUUAACCAUAGUACGCUCUGGAAACUGUUUAACUUGAGUGCAGAAGGGGAGAGUGGAAUUCCAUGUGUAGCGGUGAAAUGCGUAGAUAUAUGGAGGAACACCGGUGGCGAAAGCGGCUCUCUGGUCUGUAACUGACGCUGAGGCUCGAAAGCGUGGGGAGCAAACAGGAUUAGAUACCCCCGUAGUCCCUGUCUCUUAUACC